UACGUAGGGACCAAGCGUUGUUCGGAUUUACUGGGCGUAAAGGGAGCGUAGGCGGCAAUUCAAGUCAGUUGUGAAAUCUCCGAGCUUAACUCGGAACGGUCAACUGAUACUGCUUUGCUAGAGUACAGAAGGGGCAAUCGGAAUUCUUGGUGUAGCGGUGAAAUGCGUAGAUAUCAAGAGGAACACCUGAGGUGAAGACGGGUUGCUGGGCUGAUACUGACGCUGAUGCUCGAAAGCUAGGGGAGCAAACGGG
rnacentral:rRNA from 1 species